rnacentral:rRNA from 1 species
AUUGAACGCUGGCGGCAGGCUUAACACAUGCAAGUCGAGCGGGGUGAUGGUGCUUGCACUAUCACUUAGCGGCGGACGGGUGAGUAAUGCUUAGGAAUCUGCCUAUUAGUGGGGGACAACAUCUCGAAAGGGAUGCUAAUACCGCAUACGUCCUACGGGAGAAAGCAGGGGAUCACUUGUGACCUUGCGCUAAUAGAUGAGCCUAAGUCGGAUUAGCUAGUUGGUGGGGUAAAGGCCUACCAAGGCGACGAUCUGUAGCGGGUCUGAGAGGAUGAUCCGCCACACUGGGACUGAGACACGGCCCAGACUCCUACGGGAGGCAGCAGUGGGGAAUAUUGGACAAUGGGGGGAACCCUGAUCCAGCCAUGCCGCGUGUGUGAGGAAGGCCUUAUGGUUGUAAAGCACUUUAAGCGAGGAGGAGGCUCUUUUGGUUAAUACCCAGAAUGAGUGGACGUUACUCGCAGAAUAAGCACCGGCUAACUCUGUGCCAGCCGCCGCCGUAAUAC